AAUGGCCUACGGGACGCAGCAGUGGGGGAUAUUGCACAAUGGGCGAAAGCCUGAUGCAGCGACGCCGCGUGAGGGAAGACGGUCUUCGGAUUGUAAACCUCUGUCUUUGGGGAAGAAUAGAGACGGUACCCAAAGAGGAAGCUCCGGCUAACUACGUGCCAGCAGCCGCGGUAAUACGUAGGGAGGGAGCGUUGUCCAGAAUUACUGGGUGUAAAGGGAGCGUAGGCGGGCUUGUAAGUUGAAUGUCUAAUCCACCGGCUCAACCGGUGAUCGCGUUCAAAACUGCAGGUCUUGAGUGAAGUAGG
rnacentral:rRNA from 1 species